UGUCAGGACUCAGCGAGCAGAGCCGGGCAGUUUCUGCCGGCCCUGCUCUCUCCCUCCUCUUUUUUCGACAGGUGACGGCAGUUGACUGGUGGGCGGGGCGCGCACACCUGCAGCGUGUUCUGGAGCACUAUAAGAUCUGCGCUCGGACAGCGGGAGGACGCCGGAAUAUUAACCGUUGUUGGUUCGCUCUCGUGUCCCGAGGCUUGAGCCUAACUGAACUCACCUGCUCACGACUCCCAUCGGAUCAGUCCGGUUCCUUCCGCUGCCUGUGUUUUCGCCAGAGCUGCUCGGACCUUGCCUCACGCCUACGCCCCCCGAUCAUCUGUCCGCACCACUCCAUCUGGAGCUGAGUCCGUUGCGCUUCCCCCUCCGGUCCGACUUCCGAACCUAAGUGAUCGUUCGUGCUCCGUCCGAGUCUCUCUCCCCGUGAUCGCUCCAUUGUGAGCCCUUUUUCGUGAUUACUUCCCCGAACAUUUUCCCUGUUGUUGUUGUCAAUAAACUCCG